AUUGAACGCUGGCGGCAGGCCUAACACAUGCAAGUCGAACGGUAACAGGAAACAGCUUGCUGCUUCGCUGACGAGUGGCGGACGGGUGAGUAAUGUCUGGGAAACUGCCUGAUGGAGGGGGAUAACUACUGGAAACGGUAGCUAAUACCGCAUAACGUCGCAAGACCAAAGAGGGGGACCUUCGGGCCUCUUGCCAUCGGAUGUGCCCAGAUGGGAUUAGCUAGUAGGUGGGGUAACGGCUCACCUAGGCGACGAUCCCUAGCUGGUCUGAGGAGAGGGCCAGGCAAACUGGAACUGGGACGAGGUCCAGGAUCCUACGGGAGGCAGGAGUGGGGAAUAUUGCACAAUGGGCGCAAGCCUGAUGCAGCCAUGUCGCGUGUAUGAAGAAGGCCUUCGGGUUGUAAAGUACUUUCAGCGGGGAGGAAGGGAGUAAAGUUAAUACCUUUGCUCAUUGACGUUACCCGCAGAAGAAGCACCGGCUAACUCCGUGCCAGCCGCCGCCGUAA
rnacentral:rRNA from 1 species